CGUCUCCCGACGAAGGUUCGAUCGGCGAGAAUCGUGCGCAUCGCUCCGUCUAGCUGCUGUUUCACGCGCUCGAAGAACGUGGCAAACGCAGGCACACAGCACUCCGCGCUACUCGCAGCACAUGAGCACGAACAUUGAGAGGCUGAGCAACGCGCGCUAGCAUCCACCGCAAGCCACGGCGUCUCCAGCAUCGCGAUGACAGGUCACGCGGAGCAAAGCGAUGGUCAGGAGACGACGGACCGGGCGACGGCGUCGGUGGUCGUGACUGAUCACAGAAAAAAAGAUAAGGUAAUAAGCAUGCGACGUCACUUCCCAAUUGAUAAGAUGAAAAAUUGACAAGAUAA